GUUGAAGACAUCCUGCAAUAAUAACAGAUGAGCUAAAGUGGCCACAGAGGAAACAGAGGUUUAAUCCACUAAUCAUCUGACUGUGAAGUCAUGUGAUUUUCAGUCUCCCCAAAUCAGCAAUCAAAAAGAGUUUGCAUCAGAGUUUUAGUUUCAGUUACAUUAGGACUGCCCUACACACUCUACACACUCAUCAGAGUCGUCUCACUGAACCAGCUCAGUGACAAAAUGCCAAUCCAGGUGAAAGUAAAUGGACCCAGAGGAGAGGAAAAGAUCAUUGAUCUGUGUGACAGUGAAGAGCAGCUGAAGAGAAUUACUGUGAAGGACCUGAAAACAAAAAUUGCCCAGGAACUAAGGAUAACUGAAGACAUCCGGAUGGUCUUCAGGACUGAGCAGCUGGAGGAAUCAUGCCUGCUGUUGUCCUAUGGGAUUAAACACUUGUCCACCAUCCACACACUGCUGAUGCUGCCUGGAGGCAUCUGAGAAACAACCCAUAGACUCUACACUGCACCAACACAACUGGACCAAUGGGCUUUACUAUGAGCUCAAACACAGAUUCAAAUGUAAAAAUAAUUAAGAUGCAUUGUCCUUAUGCUUCAUUUGUCACAUGCUAAAAUAAAUAUCCUAAACAUA